UCCCUUGUGGCUCAGCUGGUAAAGAAUCUGCCUGCAAAGCAGAAGACCUGGGUUCGAUCCCUGAGUUGGGAA
rnacentral:tRNA from 1 species